AUGCACGUUGCAAAGACAAUGAUACACAUAGAGAGCUAGAAUGAAUUCCUGUGCGAAUCGAACUGAAUGAGUCUCCUCCUCCAUAACUCUAGUCAGGAUAGUAAGCAACCCCUCUCUCCCAGCCCGCUGCUUUUCUUGGUAAGGUAGGUUGUGGGUAGAAGUUAAAGAUGAUCUAACCCUCGAAGUUUGAGCCCUCAUAUAGCCGUACCAAUAAUAAGGAAUAGGCCCACGGGGAUAAUGUCUAAAGAGAAGGUCCAGUAGAUUGAGUUU
rnacentral:lncRNA from 1 species